rnacentral:rRNA from 1 species
UACUUAGUGGCAGACGGGUGAGUAACAUGUAGGUAUCUGCCCUUUGGCCUGGAAUAACACGAGGAAACUUGUGCUAAUACCGGAUAAGUCUUUACGGAGAAAGCUUUAUGCACCAUUGGAUGAGCCUGCACUUGAUUAGUUUGUUGGUGGGGUAAUGGCCUACCAAGACUGUGAUCAAUAGCUGAUUUGAGAGGAUGAUCAGCCACAUUGGGACUGAGACACGGCCCAAACUCCUACGGGAGGCAGCAGUGGGGAAUCUUGCACAAUGGAGGAAACUCUGAUGCAGCGAUGCCGCGUGAGUGAAGAAGGCCCUUGGGUUGUAAAGCUCUUUCGUCGGGGAAGAAAAUGACUGUACCCGAAUAAGAAGGUCCGGCUAACUUCGUGCCAGCAGCCGCGGUAAUACGAAGGGACCUAGCGUAGUUCGGAAUUACUGGGCUUAAAGAGUUCGUAGGUGGUUGAAAAAGUUAGUGGUGAAAUCCCAGAGCUUAACUCUGGAACUGCCAUUAAAACUUUU